rnacentral:lncRNA from 1 species
UGGCACAUGCAUGAAGCAUUAAAUAUAUGUGAAAACAAAAACUAAUUGCACAGUCAAUAAAAAGAGAAGGGUUCCACUAACAGUCUGGAGAGACAGUUUCCUUUGAGUCUUAGACUUCUUUUCCCUUUUUUUUUGGGCCUAUAGGCCUUGUAAUUUUUUCUGUUUUGCUUUUUUCUUUUUAUACAGUGCAUUCCUUCAUUCAAUUGAAAUACAAAAAAUAU